UACGGGGGGAGCAAGCGUUGUUCGGAUUUACUGGGCGUAAAGGGCGCGUAGGCGGCGCAACAAGUCACUUGUGAAAUCUCCGGGCUUAACUCGGAACGGUCAAGUGAUACUGUUGUGCUAGAGUGCGGAAGGGGCAACUGGAAUUCUCGGUGUAGCGGUGAAAUGCGUAGAUAUCGAGAGGAACACCUGCGACGAAGGCGGGUUGCUGGGCCGACACUGACGCUGAUGCGCGAAAGCCAGGGGAGCGAACGGG
rnacentral:rRNA from 1 species